GGGGAAUAUAACUCAGUUGGUAGAAUGCUUGCCUCACAUGCACAAGGCCCUGGGUUCCAUCCCCAGCCCCA
rnacentral:tRNA from 1 species